rnacentral:rRNA from 1 species
UACGUAGGGGGCAAGCGUUGUCCGGAUUUAUUGGGCGUAAAGAGCGUGUAGGCGGCCAAGCAGGUCAGCUGUGAAAACUCGAGGCUCAACCUCGAGACGUCGGUUGAAACCGCUUGGCUAGAGUCCGGAAGAGGAGAGUGGAAUUCCCGGUGUAGCGGUGAAAUGCGCAGAUAUCGGGAGGAACACCUGUGGCGAAGGCGGCCAUCUGGACGGUAACUGACGCUGAGACGCGAAAGCGUGGGUAGCAAACAGG